rnacentral:tRNA from 1 species
GGGCGGAUAGCUUGAGCAGUUGUAGAGCGCCAGCUUUAAGAUCUGGAGGUCGCGGGUUCGAGCCCCGCUCUGUCCA